AACGAACGCUGGCGGCAUGCCUAACACAUGCAAGUCGAACGAGACCUUCGGGUCUAGUGGCGCACGGGUGCGUACCGCGUGGGAACCUGCCCUUAGGUUCGGAAUAACUCCCCGAAAGGGGUGCUAAUACCGGUUAAUGUCUUAGGACCAAAGAUUUAUUGCUUUUGGAUGGGCCCGCGUUGGUUUAGCUGGUUGGUAGGGGACAAGCCUGCCAAGGCGACGUUCCAUAGCUGGUCUGUGAGGAUGAUCAGCAACACUGGGACUGAGACACGGCCCAGACUCCUACGGGAGGCAGCAGUAGGUAAUAUUAGACGAUGGGCGAAAGCCUGAUCCAGCAAUGCGGCGGGAGUGAUGAAGGCCUUAGGGUUGUAAAUCUCUUUUACCCGGGAUGAUAAUGACAGUACCGGGAGAAGAAGCUCCGGCUAACUCCGUG
rnacentral:rRNA from 1 species